UUUUGGCUAAGAUCAAAGUGUAGUAUCUGUUCUUAUCAGCUUAAUAUCUGAUACGGUCCCUAUUUGGGACCAUCGAUAUUAAACUGAUUUUUGGAACGAGGCGAAGAGUUAGGGGCUUGCUCCGCCUUUGCCAUGGAGAUCGGAAGAGAGUGUGUGAGAGAGAGAGUGUGAGAGA